GUACGAAGGGGCUAGCGUUGUUCGGAAUCACUGGGCGUAAAGCGCACGUAGGCGGAUGUGCCAGUCAGGGGUGAAAUCCCGGAGCUCAACCCCGGAAACUGCCAUUGAUACUAUUAUCUUGAAUACUUUGGAGGUAAGCGGAAUAUGUCAUGUAACGGUGAAAUGCUUAGAUAUGACAUAGAACACCAAUUGCGCAGGCAGCUUACUACAACAGUCAUUGACACU
rnacentral:rRNA from 1 species